UGGGGAAUAUUGCACAAUGGAGGGAACUCUGAUGCAGCGACGCCGCGUGAACGAAGAAGGCGUUCGAGACGUAACGUUCUUUUAUAUGGGAAGAUAAUGACGGUACCAUAAGAAAAAGCCCCGGCUAACUACGUGCCAGCAGCCGCGGUAAUACGUAGGGGGCUAGCGUUGUCCGGAAUCACUGGGCGUAAAGGGUUCGCAGGCGGAAAUGCAAGUCAGGUGUAAAAGGCAGUAGCUUAACUACUGUAAGCAUUUGAAACUGCAUAUCUUGAGAAGAGUAGAGGUAAGUGGAAUUUUUAGUGUAGCGGUGAAAUGCGUAGAUAUUAAAAAGAAUACCGGUGGCGAAGGCGACUUACUGGGCUCAUUCUGACGCUGAGGAACGAAAGCGUGGGUAGCAAACAGG
rnacentral:rRNA from 1 species